rnacentral:rRNA from 1 species
CUCAGGAUUAACGCUGGCGGCGUGCCUAAUACAUGCAAGUCGAACGGGAAUACAUUUCGGUGUAUUCUAGUGGCGAACGGGUGAGUAAGACGUAGGUAACCCACCUGUAAGACGAGGAUAGCCAUUGGAAACGAUGGAUAAUACUGGAUAGGACAAUGGAAAAAGCAUUUUAGAUUGUUUAAAGGGAGAAAUCCGCUUACAGAGGGGCCUGCGGCGCAUUAGCUAGUUGGUAAGGUAAGGGCUUACCAAGGCGAUGAUGCGUAGCCGGACUGAGAGGUUGAACGGCCACAAUGGAACUGAGAACGGUCCAUACUCCUACGGGAGGCAGCAGUAGGGAAUUUUCGGCAAUGGGGGGAACCCUGACCGAGCAACGCCGCGUGAACGAAGAAGUAUUUCGGUAUGUAAAGUUCUUUUAUUGGAGAAGAAAGAGAAAUUUGACGGUAACCAAUGAAUAAGCUCCGGCUAACUACGUGCCAGCAGCCGCGGUAAUACGUAGGGAGCGAGCGUUAUCCGGAAUUAUUGGGCGUAAAGGGUGCGUAGAUGGUUGAUAUAAGUCUUUUGUAAAAAUGCUAGGCUCAACCUAGUAGGGCAAAAGAUACUGAUGAACUAGAGUACGGCAGAGGCAAGUGGAACUAUAUGUGUAGCGGUAAAAUGCGUAAAUAUAAGGAAGAACACCAGUGGCGAAGGCGGAUUACUGGA